GAGGAGUAUAGGAGGUGAGUCUAGAGAUGGAGUAUAGGAGGUGAGUCUAGAGACGGAGUAUAGGAGGUGAGUCUAGAGGCGGAGUAUAGGAGGUGAGUCUAGAGACGGAGUAUAGGAGGUGA
rnacentral:lncRNA from 1 species